UACGUAGGCAGCGAGCGUUGUUCGGAGUUACUGGGCGUAAAGGGUGUGUAGGCGGUUGUUUAAGUUUGGGGUGAAAUCUCCCGGCUCAACUGGGAGGGUGCGCCGAAUACUGAAUGACUAGAGUGCGGGAGAGGAAAGUGGAAUUCCUGGUGUAGCGGUGAAAUGCGUAGAUAUCAGGAGGAACACCGGUGGUGUAGACGGCUUUCUGGACCGUAACUGACGCUGAGACACGAAAGCGUGGGUAGCAAACAGG
rnacentral:rRNA from 1 species